CUCUCCGGGCGGACGUAGGUCGGCGAGAUUUCACUCAGGUUCAACUUGUGCAUCUCAUUUGUUAAAAGUUCUUAAAAACCGAGCUAAAUCGCUAAUCUUGAUUGCAAAUCCUGCCUGGGACUCGGUUUUGUGAACGAUAUGACGCCUUUGCGUGUUUGCAGUGGUAGCCGUGCUAAAAGGUGCCUUCCUGUGCUCAGGUCACCAGGGCCGGCUUCGACCCACAGAACGGACGCUGUAUUAAGGCCCCAGGGAAGUCUGUCGUUGUACCUUCAGUUCGAGAGCCUGGAAAAUACUUGGAAACGGGGGCGUGGCUGUGUUUUGCCGACUUGCCGUGACCUUUCCGCUCUCGCUGGCAAAGCCCGCCCGUAACCUCGUAACCUCGGGGAGAGCCCUUGUUCAGGGAGCGCGUUUUCUGCAUUGAGGGUGGUCUCUGGGGACGGUGCCUCAGUCUGAGGAACCAGGGUGCUGCUAGCUGACGAGCGCGAGGGACCUUACGUGAGGGCAACCACUCAUCGUUUCCCUCCCGGCGUCGUGACCGGGCACGCAGCAGGCGCUCAACAAGUAUCUGUGGAGCGAGCGGAAAGAAAGAUGGAACCGCCGACCACUGUCAGAUUUUUAGCUAAACUGUGUCCUUCCACCGACCUGUUUAUCGAAGGCCUUUUCUAACCGAGCGCCACGUUCUGGUAACCCCCAGACGGCUGCGGUGUAGACGCCGCCUCCCGAAGCCCUGGGGCUGGGAUCUGAGAACACACAUGGCACCAUAUCACACAGUCCUCAGCACAAACAAGGGCAAGACCCUGAGAGAUCAAGGGGGAUGGUUUUCCCAGGGAAGAUGCUUCCUAAGCCAGGUUUCAACGAGGGAGCAGGAUUUUAGCAGAGAGCGAGCGAGCAGUCCUCGACCAAUUGGUUCAUUCAUUCGUUCAGCUGGUGUUCGUCCGACAUGUCGCCGGGGCACACGGAGGGAGGAGCGCGUGUGCACGGGGAGUGGCGAGUGCUCUUGUGACGAGAACCUUCCCAGCCUGUGGCGGUUGGGAAGCGUGUGUCCCUCCAGGUGCCGGGGACCCACGGCGGUCUGCUCUGGGGUCCAGCUGCGUCCGGAGGAAUACGAACGUUCUGCAAGAGGCUUCCAGGUUAUGGUGGAGACCUGGUGCUGGUCAGCUGGCCGGACUGCUGCGUCUGAGGGCAGGGCCGUCCCACCGUCACGUGGUGCCAGUGAGAGCCCGGGAGCUGCUCCAGCCUGGGGACCCUUGUUCCACCUGUGUCUGACGGUCCCCGUACCCUCGUGGCUCCAGUCAUAUGCGUGGUGACACGCAAGGAGAGCAAAGCGUAGCGUCAGGGCAGGGAAGCAAGAGCCGCUACUCAGCUGUUUCUUGGGUAGCAGAGCAGGAUGGAGGUGCCUGGUCACGUGUAGGUCAUGCUCGCCCCUCCAGGAGAGAGAACCGACGUGCUGUCCAUCCAGGGAGGGACCCUCCAUCCUCGACAGCUUGUGGCCGAGAAGUGCACCAAUUCUCUGUGUGUGUUGGAGACCGAACUCAAGCCAGACCCCAGGGGCAUGUCAGGCUUCGGGUCGGGGAGUCGGGGGCUGCCUGGCGUCCCCCGGGGUGCUGCCAGGGAACAACGCAUUCGCCACCCAGGCCAGACGCCUCAGGAGCGAGGGUCCCGCUGCUGUCGGGGCCGGACAACGAGCUGCUCUCUGCGUCAAAUCCACGCUGUGCAUCCUCCCAGCAGCCAGCGGCCAUUGUCGCCGUCACUGCCACCUGUGUCUCAGAGCUUUUAGGGAAGCGCUUCUCAUUCACCCACAGCGGUUUUGUUCCUUCCAAUUCUCCUGCACUUGUCAUCCCUCAAUUGUUUUGAGAAGCCGCGUAGAGACUCCUGUGCUCCACCCGCCGUGGCCUGUGACUUUCCUGCCGUUGGAACGACUGAGCUCUGGAAUCCAGCACUGGAGCCUCGGUCUGUUGUUCAGCCUGAGGACAGCGUGGGCGGUGGCGGCACUGCCUGGCAACCGAGGCCUGCGGAGCUGCCUGUGCAGGGAGGAGGGGAAGGAGGAGGCGGCUGUGCAGGGGAGGGGGCUGCCCACUGAGGGAGUGCAGGGGGAGGGGCUGCGCCCGAGGCCAGGAAGGACCCUGGACGCACCCCCCAGCAGGGCCCCUGAGGAGGGCACCGCUCCCAGCGCCUCCUUGAGCUGUGACA